UCCAAAAUGGUGUCCAAUUUACAGCUUGU
rnacentral:piRNA from 1 species